rnacentral:rRNA from 1 species
AAAUCUCAACUUUAUUAGAAGAGACGCAUUUAUUAGAUAAAAAGCCAAUGCAUGCUUUUACAGUAUGGAAAUUGGUGAUUUAUAAUAACUUGGCAAAUCGCAAAGUGAAAACAGGCGAUAAAUCAUUCAAGUUUCUGACCUAUCAGCUUUCGACGGUAUGGUAUUGGCUUACCGUGGCAGUGACGGUUAACGGGGGAUUAGGGUUCGAUUCCGGAGAGGGAGCCUGAGAAACGGCUACCACAUCUAAGGAAGGCAGCAGGCGCGCAAAUUACCCAAUUCUAACAGUUUGAGAGAGGUAGUAACAAGAAAUAACAAUACAAGGCAAUUAAAAUGCUUUGUAAUUGGAAUGAUAGAAAUUUAAACCCUUUUUAAAGUAUCAAUUGGAGGGCAAGUCUGGUGCCAGCAGCCGCGGUAAUUCCAGCUCCAAUAGCGUAUAUUAAAAUUGUUGCAGUUAAAAAGCUCGUAGUUGAAGUUCUGCUAAAAGUAACCGGUCUGCUUUUAAUAAAAGUGGUAUCUUGGUGUGUAUUUAGCAAUGAUGUCCUUUGAAGUGUUUUUUACUUUAUUGUAAUAAAGCAUAUUCAGGACUUUUACUUUGAGAAAAUUAGAGUGUUUCUAGCAGGCCGACGCUUUGAAUACUGCAGCAU